rnacentral:lncRNA from 1 species
CCGCUCCCGCGGCAUAUGGAGGUUCCCAGGCUAGGGGUCCAAUUGCAGCCAUAGCCACCAGCCUAUGCCAGAGCCAAAGCAACACGGGAUCCGAGCUGAGUCUGUGACCUACACCACAGCUCACGGCAAUGCUGGAUCCUUAACCCACUGAGCAAGGCCAGGGAUUGAACCCACAACCUCAUGGUUUCUAGUCGGAUUCGUUAACCACUGCGCCACGACUGGAACUCCCAAGUAGAAUCAUAAUACUAACCGAGAUAUCCACAGCUCCCAAGUCCAUGUCCCAGACACUCUCACACUGGUGCCUCAAAGCAAUAGCAGAGCAAUUGCAAAGCUCUUUACUCUGGAGGUCCUUCUCCAAGGGGGAGAAGGCUCUGGAAACUUGGAGGUCUCAUGAACCCCCUGGCUUCCCACCCAAAGCAACUUCAUGAUAUAUUAUCAGCUUCUAACAGUCACAAGUACUGAAGUCAAAAUUGGUCCCUUGGAAGUUUAUAGCUCAAGAACAUAAAAUCAUCUAGUACAGGACAAAAGCCACCAUGAUAAAGAAGGCAGUGACAUAUCUUUAAAUCUGAGGCAACUGGUCAGGAGGUUCUCAGACCAGAAGUGAACAGUUGGCUGUGUGUUUUCUGCUUCCCAGUCACUGAGCUAUCGAGAGCCAAGAACUCUAGAAUGUGCCAAGGCCAGGCACAGGUGUAUGGGCAGAGCUGAAACCCUGAACGAACUUCUCCCCAUCACUUGCAUAACUUCCUUGGUCUGGGGUUUCUCAUACUUUCCGAGGGGGAAGUACGCUCCUCUUCCAUCUCCCCUUCUUCAUGAGGCACAGAGCAGCAGGAACCACUCAGCAACAGGGACUUGGCAGCUUCUAAAGGUCACGUUGCUGGCGGGCGCAGCUUGAGUUGAAGGGAUCGUAGACAUGCAGGCAAACGUCCAGAGCGUCACCAGUGCCCGGCCCUGAGCCACAGGGGAAGCCAGAGGGCCUGGAAAAUAGAUGCACAGACAUAGAAAACAAACUGACAUCACCCUUUUUGUAUCUUCGUUUGAUUAAGAUGUACCUUCCCCUCUAGAAAACAAGUCCUAUGAAGACAGGGACUUGGUUCACUGCUGUAUCCUCCGCACUUGUAGUAGUGCCCAGAGCUCAUUAAGUACUC